UAAUACGGAGGGUGCAAGCGUUAUCCGGAUUUACUGGGUUUAAAGGGUGUGUAGGCGGGCUAGUAAGUCAGUGGUGAAAUCUCCGGGCUCAACCUGGAAACUGCCAUUGAUACUAUUAGUCUUGAAUUCUGUUGAGGUAGGCGGAAUAUGUCAUGUAGCGGUGAAAUGCUUAGAUAUGACAUAGAACACCAAUUGCGAAGGCAGCUUACUAAACAGACAUUGACGCUGAGGCACGAAAGCGUGGGGAUCAAACAGG
rnacentral:rRNA from 1 species